GAAAUUAGCGCUGUGGAACCACCCGAUCCCAUCCCGAACUCGGAAGUGAAACGCAGCUGCGCCGAUGGUAGUGUGGCUCAAGCCAUGCGAGAGUAGGUCAUCGCCAGGG
rnacentral:rRNA from 1 species